rnacentral:rRNA from 1 species
GACGAACGCUGGCGGCGUGCCUAAUACAUGCAAGUCGAGCGGACGAAUCGAAAGCUUGCUUUUGAUUCGUUAGCGGCGGACGGGUGAGUAACACGUGGGCAACCUGCCCUGUAGACGGGGAUAACACCGAGAAAUCGGUGCUAAUACCGGAUAACACGAAAUGUCGCAUGACGUUUCGUUGAAAGACGGCGCAAGCUGUCGCUACAGGAUGGGCCCGCGGCGCAUUAGCUAGUUGGUGAGUUAACGGCUCACCAAGGCGACGAUGCGUAGCCGACCUGAGAGGGUGAUCGGCCACACUGGGACUGAGACACGGCCCAGACUCCUACGGGAGGCAGCAGUAGGGAAUCUUCCGCAAUGGACGAAAGUCUGACGGAGCAACGCCGCGUGAGCGAAGAAGGCCUUCGGGUCGUAAAGCUCUGUUGUUAGGGAAGAACAAGUAACGCAGUAACUGGCGUUACCGUGACGGUACCUAACGAGAAAGCCACGGCUAACUACGUG